rnacentral:misc_RNA from 1 species
AAUCAUAAUUAUUUCCUAUAUACACUUCAAUGGACAGAAAUAAUGCAGUUAAUAGAUUCAGAUUUAUUAAAACAUAAUUGAUAGUAGAAAUGUAAAAAGUACUUCCUUAUUGGACGCGUAUUGUGUGUAUGGUACAUUUACGUACAAGUGCUAUGCAUAUUUGAGUCCCAUAACGUAUAAUAUAAAAAGAUGUACAAUUUUCCAUUUGAUUGCUAUUUACCAUGCUUACCUAUACAUAAAUAUUUACAAUAAUAUUGUAUUGUAUUGUGUGCAAUACUUUUUAUUCUAAUUAAUACAUGUAAAUCAAAUUGGAGUAAAAAUUUUUACAUGUAGAUGGAAGGUUAUGUUUUGUGUGAAUGAAAUUGUUAAAAUGUUUGGAAGAUUCUUUUUGUUGAUGUUUUGUUCUAAUCUGGCCUUCUUAAUUUUUUUAUUACCCCCGUAAACAAAGUUUAGGGGGUUUAUUGGAAUCGCCUUGUCCGUCUGUCUGUCCGUUUGUCUGUAGACACAAUAUGUUGAACACCAUCUGAAGAUGUGCACCUGCAAUUUUUAUUUUAAGAUCAGACAAGAUUUAAUAAUCUAAUUAGUUUUCAUUUUCCGUAUCCUGUAUAUUGUACACUGAUACUGAAAAGUAAGGGAGGUAAUCCUAACAAUGUUUGUUAGUUAUUUUAUAGUAAACACUCUAAAGUAUAUUU